UACGUAGGGGGCAAGCGUUGUCCGGAUUUAUUGGGCGUAAAGAGCGUGUAGGCGGCCAGGUAGGUCAGCUGUGAAAACUGGAGGCUCAACCUUCAGACGUCGGCUGAAACCAUCUGGCUAGAGUCCGGGAGAGGAGAGUGGAAUUCCUGGUGUAGCGGUGAAAUGCGCAGAUAUCAGGAAGAACACCCGUGGCGAAAGCGGCUCUCUGGAACGGUACUGACGCUGAGACGCGAAAGCGUGGGGAGCAAACAGG
rnacentral:rRNA from 1 species